UUGAACCCUAUCACAGGAACAGAUAAUAAAAGCCAAAACUGGAUCAGAACAGUGGAUUCUAAGUAAGCAAAUGCUGAUAUACAAAUCUCUCCCCUUGAAAGUGAUUACAACUACUGAUGACCUCCUAUCUGCUGAUCUUACCAAACUACUGUCUCAUAACUGCUUCUCAACUAAAGAUCUGAUGGAAGACUAAAGUCCUGCUGAUUCAAUCUACUGCCUUGAGUCAAGCACUGUUGAUCCGGACAAGUGCAGCUGGGUUCACAACAGUAGAAAGUUGCAGCAGCUGAUCUAAAGUCUGUUUUGUAAUAGAAUGUAUUAGCAGUAGUUAGCACAAGCAGUGUCUGUAUAGAUCAGAGGUUAGAGUUUGUUAGGAGGUUAGAUGUCACUUUCAUGGUGACGUCAGCAAAGAUGCUCAGUAGUUUGCAACUCUUUACAUCAUUCGUCUUCUUUGCACGAACAAACUACUGAGCUCGGGCUGAGGGGGAGUUUGCAUUCUUACGUCUAUCUUUGUAAUCGUUGUUGAAAUUAAAUUCAAUCAUUCGGUUCAUUGUGUAAAAGAUGUUUGAUUAAAGUAUUACUCU
rnacentral:lncRNA from 1 species